UACGUAGGGGGCAAGCGUUGUCCGGAUUUAUUGGGCGUAAAGAGCGUGUAGGCGGCUUGGUAGGUCUCGCGUCAAAACCUGAGGCUCAACCUCAGUUCGCGUGGGAAACCACCUAGCUAGAGUCCGGAAGAGGAGAACGGAAUUCCCGGUGUAGCGGUGAAAUGCGCAGAUAUUGGGAAGAACACCAGUGGCGAAGGCGGUUCUCUGGGACGGUACUGACGCUGAGACGCGAAAGCGUGGGGAGCGAACAGG
rnacentral:rRNA from 1 species